rnacentral:rRNA from 1 species
GACGAGCCACACAAACGUUAUUCGGAAUUACUGGGCUUAAAGGGUGCGUAGGCGGGCGCGGAAAGUUGGGUGUGAAAGCCAGGGGCUCAACCCUUGGAUGCCGGUGGAUACUGUCGGGCUAGAGUGCGGAAGAGGCGAGUGGAAUUCCUGGUGUAGCGGUGAAAUGCGCAGAUAUCGGAGGAAGACACAUGGCGAAGGCAGCUCGCUGGGACGUUACUGACGCUGAGGACGAACGAACGUGGGGAGCGAACAGG